AUGAAGGACAUGGUGAAGAUGAAGAUGAUUUCUAUGAAGAUGAAGAUGAUUUGGGAGAAUUGAUUUUGUUAAUUGAUUUAGGAUUAUAAUUGUUAAUUAAUUUUUUUAAUUCAAUUAAAAUUUAUGAUGUGUUUUUUAUUUUUUUAUUUUUUAUUUAAUGCCACAUAGGCUUCAUUUACACCGUCACCAUGUCAUUUCAUCACUCGCCGGAGCUCGGAGCUCCGGCGAUGACUUGCUCCAUACGUUUUUAAAAGAGAGGAAUUUAAUCCACAAAUUUUUCCGGUCAGGAACCUGGUUCAGACGAGGACAGGGACUAAUAUGAGGAUUAAACAUAUCCACCCUGUUAUCUAAUAAUUUUGAGACCUCACUCUGGAGAGUGAGCCACUCAAAUUACACACUCUCUAUCAGGAAUUGUCACGUCAGCUUUUUUAACAAAAGAUAUCCUUCUCUCUCCAGAAGCUGUGUCCGUGGUACUCACGCGACUCAUUCUCAUCUCUGCUUCAUUUUCAUUGUCCACAACGUACUCCCUGAUUUUUCUCAUCUCUUUCACUUUCCCUCUCCCAAAUCGAUUCCCCUCAAUCAGCGAUUGCAUUUUCAAAUUUCAAACCCAUGAAAUCAGUCCCAAAUCUGAUUUGGUUCCCUCAAUCAGUUUUUUCGAUCAUUCACUCCAUAAAAUCUCGAAACCUUUUCACUCUCCCAGUUCCAAAAAUCAGUUCUCUCUAAAAUGGAUUUUAAUUCUGCAAUGCAAGAUUCCAUGGAUCAUAGGAUUCAUGAGGUUCACAACAGGCACAUCUCAUCUUGAAGAUAUCAGAAUGUUCCAAAAGACACAACCUUAGGUGUUUGGGCUCUCCAAUUUCAAUCUCUGAUGUCGCUUCACGUAUCUCUUUUGUUUCCUCAGGUUCUUGCCAAAAGUUGGAACUUUAGUGUUGUUUCUUCCUUAAAUUUGAUAACCUUCUCUGCUCCAUUGCCACUUAAGAUGGAAAACAAGACUUAUUCAAAGAAGAGUAAACGCGUGGAAAUGUUGACUUGAAUGUCCAUGACCAUGGCAUUAGAUCAUGUAAGCCAAAGUUUACAAUUGAUUUGUAUUGUUGAAUUGUAUUAUAAGAGUAUUUGAUUGGACUUCAGUGUCUAAUUGGUCGUUGGUUCUGUAAAAAGAAUAAUGCUGCUACAAAGUUUAGUAGCUUGAGGGUAUGUUUCACCUUGAACUGUCUACUUAAA